GUAGGUGGCAAGCGUUGUCCGGAUUUAUUGGGUUUAAAGGGUGCGUAGGCGGCUUUGUAAGUCAGUGGUGAAAUAUGGCAGCUUAACUGUCAAGGUGCCAUUGAUACUGCAGAGCUUGAGUACAGAUGAGGUAGGCGGAAUUGACGGUGUAGCGGUGAAAUGCUUAGAUAUCGUCAAGAACACCUAUAGCGAAGGCAGCUUACUAAGCUGUAACUGACGCUGAGGCACGAAAGUGUGGGGAUCAAACAGGAUUAGAUACCCUGGUAGUCCGCACUGUAAACGUUGAUUACUCGCUGUGUGCGAUAUACAGUGCGCGGCCAAGCGAAAGCGCUAAGUAAUCCACCUGGGGAGUACGCCGGCAACGGUG
rnacentral:rRNA from 1 species